CCAGAGCUGUGUUACUGUUCCUGUAGAGCCUGGGUUUGUAAGACGGGGGACGCUUGUCUUUAGUUCCUCAAGGAGUGUGGUUGCAACUUGACUGAAUAAAGUCAACAAGCUUUAAAAUUUUAAACGUAAAAUUUACUCAGUUGAAUUUUGUUUGACAGUUUGGUGGCGGCCGUGGGAUCCAAAGAGGACUUCAGCCAGCUUCAGGGACAAGAAACAGAGACCUGGUACCUGCAAACCCCUUGAGUUCUCUUUGUCACCAUCUCUGAGGGCCCUGGGUAAGUACCUCUCUGUUUCGAGCUCCGCCCUCUUGGCCUUAAGGUCCCCAUCGAAUCGGCUGCCCAAGUCCAGCGGUAACAUUCGGUUUGGACUCCCAGGAGGUGCCGGGCGAGUCCUCAGCCCUUGCUUACUCUGCAACCCCAGUCCAGGGCCUAGCCGCUCAGCCUGAGCUGGCAGGUGGUUCCACCUGGAACCUGAGUCCCCAGCCCUCGGCUAGCCCGCGGCGCCCACCGUUGACGUGUGCUCGUUCAGUCCACAGUUGUGUGCUGGGAACCACGGGUGGUGCGCACGUAAGGCCUCGUCACGGCCAGUCCGCAGUAUCCUCUCCUUGCUCACUGCGGGUCUGUGAGCGUGCACAUGAGGUAAAGGAAUAAUAAAUCUGUUGUUAAUGGGCAGCUCAGAAACCAGAGCUGGAAAGUCGGUGGGCACCUAAAAGCGGUUAGAGCGCAUGGCCACCCAACUCGACCGUUAUAAGCUGGUUACGGAAUGGCCUAGAUGGACACUAGGUCACCCGCCAACCUCAAGAAAAUUUCCACCCAGUGAGGUACACGGUGGAACACCGCAAGAUUCCCAGCCCAGCGGUACGUCCCUCUUAACUGUCAACUUGUCUCUGACAAACCUAAGGCUUAGGCGACGAAAUGAGAUCCUCCAGUUCCAAAGAAUUGAGUGUGCCCCGUUUCGGCACAACUGCUUUUAUGUCUAAGAAGUAGGUCCCGGAAGCUGUACGUGACUACAAAGAUGGCAAGAUGUUCAUAAAGCAAGCUAGAAUCACCAGGGCUGUUGUGUGAAAGGAUUUCAGCCUAAAAUGAAACCGGAGGAAACGAAACGGAGAAGCUCAUGCCUGUGUCCUCAGGAGAAGGGAACUGAAAACUGGACCGAUUUCCUGGAAGGGCCUGAUUUACGGGAGACUGAGACUUCUCUCCGGCAUAGUGAACAUCUGCCCGGAAUGGCUCCUGUCCUCAAGCCAGUGAACUUACUGUUGGACCACGGACGCUGCCAGGAGAGACCGCCUUCUCCAAAGUACAAGACCACUGUGUAAGGAUAAGGCGUGGACAGACGAGCAAGUUUCACAGCAGCUCACUUGCCACCCACGAGACGAUUCCGUGCAACAAGGGACACCAGGUCAUAGGUCAGACAAGUAGGGCAAAGGCUGUCCUCCGUGAAGAGGACGUUUCCCACGAAAGGCACACUGUCAAACAAAACCCAAGUCCGCACCCUAAGUAUUCGGCACUCUUGGGAAGACUCUAAAGAUGGGAUCCCAGGCAUCUCAAUGCUCUAAGGGUGACCCUCACCCCAAAACCCCAGUGGUUUUAUGCUGAAAAAAAAAGUUACGGUCUCUCAUGCACACGGACCGGCAGUAUUGAAGACAACUUGGAAUUGCAGUGGUCAUUACAAGGAAUGUUCCAGUUAGACAAGUUCCCUCAUUUAAGAAGUGCACUUGAAUGCAAGGGUUCCCAAAUGAAACAGAACGGGUUACCUAUUUCAGUCAGCAUGCAGAAGCCUCCAGAAGGCUUCAAGAUCCCCAAACUGCUUUAUUGAAAGAUUGAUUGCAAAAGGGUAAUGAAAAGUUAAAGACCCAAGAGGUACCUAAAACGAGACCAUAUGACUGCUGGGACUCCUGGAACUCCCCUUUAUCCUCCUCUACACCCGAGUGCUCAUAGUAUUAAUCCUCUGUCUGAAUGGUCUUUCCACCCGGAAGAGACUACAUGACCACACUCACACCAGUCUGUCAAAGGAGGCCCCCCAUACAGGCCCCUCACAGGAUUGAUGGGAUUCUGAGGGAUUCUCUUGUAACCACUACCAGUCAUUCCUGGAACAGCUAAGGGGAAACUAAAAUUAAAGGGACCCCUUGUCAAGUUCUGUGAGAUGCACAACUUACACUCUGUACUCUGAACCCCACUUGCUCCAGAGCCCACAGAUGGGAAUCCUAGAAAAAGAAGGGCGAGAAUCCUUACCGGAGUUUGCUCUCCCAAGUUACUGUGGCCCACUCAAGAGAGGAAGGAAUCAAAGUUGUUCUCAUCAGAAGGGAAAAACUGUGGGAGAGUGGUGUUCUCCAAGGUGGAAAAUGUUGUCUUCACAAGUAUCAGUGAAAAGUUGAAGUCCCCUUGACUCACCCUUUUACCAGAAGCAUGAUGUGAAUGUGAUCCUCUUAUAAAUGGACCCUUGAUUGUUUUACUCUGAUGAUUCUGCAAAACUGAAACGCAUGGAAAGAACCCUACCAAGAACUCUGGACCGCUGACAUUCCUGCCAAAUUAGAAGGUGUUGAACCCGGGGUGCCUAUGUCACAACUGAGGAAGGCUCCAUCUGACUUUGGGUCCGGUACAAAAGCCGGAGACCUCAAACUCAAAUGCACCAGCAAGAGAGGUCGACUGCUUCUUCCCAAGAUGGGGGGUUUCAAUCCAUGUUCGCAGCCAUUAACCACCUAGCAAAUAAUCCCCCUAAGAACAGAACUUCAGAAAAGGAACAAAGAGAAUGACCAACGGAAAGAACGAACCUGAUGUCAUGACCUGUGAAUACCACACAGACAUUUGGCAAAAGACCACAAGAACACCCGAGCUUUUGAGGGAAGCGGCCCUAAUGCCUUAAGUUGUGAUCCCAUCUCUCAGGCUGAGAAUCGGAUCAAAAGGAGGGACAUGUUGAAAACAAGAAAAUAGGCCCCAAAUGGAGUCACUCACGCUAAGGUCCACGUCACAGAACAGACUUCACCGAACUUCGGCUCUCUCAGAAGUGGAGUCUUAAACCAGUCGGUCAGGAAUCCACUGACCAGUUAGGGUGUCUGCCUGACAGACCCCUGCCAUUCCCUGAAGGAAAGUGACUUGGCCAUAUCCAACCGAUUUUUGUCUAGUGGAGCCUCCUUGUUCCCUCUCCCUCCUGGCUAUAAAAGUCUCAUUUUGCCUAGUUCCUCUGAGCUCCUUUCUUCUGCUAGACAAGAGGCUGCUUCAUUCAUAAAUUGGUGAAUAAAGCCAACAGAAUCUUUCA